rnacentral:rRNA from 1 species
UACGUAGGGUGCGAGCGUUGUCCGGAAUUAUUGGGCGUAAAGCGCACGUAGGCGGCUUUGUAAGUUAGAGGUGAAAGCCCGGAGCUCAACUCCGGAACUGCCUUUAAGACUGCAUCGCUUGAACGUCGGAGAGGUAAGUGGAAUUCCGAGUGUAGAGGUGAAAUUCGUAGAUAUUCGGAAGAACACCAGUGGCGAAGGCGACUUACUGGACGACUGUUGACGCUGAGGUGCGAAAGCGUGGGGAGCAAACAGG